CCAGUUCUGCGUUCAUGUCCC
rnacentral:miRNA from 1 species